rnacentral:lncRNA from 1 species
GACAGGGUUUGCUAACAUUGUGGGAUAGCAAACACACGGUAAAAAUGAAGACAUUGGUAAAAUAGUUGUUUGACACAAAAAUAUUUGCGGGCUAUUAACCUGAUUCAAAAACAUUUGCAGGGUAUCAACCUGAUUCAAAGGCAUUUGGCAGGGUGUCAACCCGACUCUGAAGGUAUUUUGCAAGCUAUUCACUUGACACAAUGAAGCAAAAGGUGUUUGCAAGCUAUUCACUUGACACAAUGAAGCAAAAGGUGUUUGCAAGCUAUUCGCUUGACACUAAGGUAGCAAAAGAGGUUUGCAAGCUACUCGCUUGACACACAUGGAACAAAAGAUAUUUGCAAGCUACUCGCUUGAC